GAUGAAGAACGUAGCGAAAUGCGAUAAGUAGUGUGAAUUGCAGAAUUCAGUGAAUCAUCGAAUCUUUGAACGCACAUUGCGCCCUGUGGUAUUCCGCAGGGCAUGCCUGUUCGAGCGUCAUUUCAACCCUCAAGCCCCGCUUGGUGUUGGGCCCCGCCCGCUGUGGCCGGCCCUAAAGACAGUGGCGGCGCCGCCUGGCCCUCAGCGUAGUACAUCUCUCGCUCCAGGGUCCGGUGGCCGCCUGCCAGAACCCCCCAACUCUGUGGUUGACCUCGGAUCAGGUAGGGAUACCCGCUGAACUUAAGCAUAUCAAUAAGCGGAGGA
rnacentral:misc_RNA from 1 species